CCGACCUUAGCUCAGUUGGUAGAGCGGAGGACUGUAGUUUGACGCAGCUUAAUCCUUAGGUCGCUGGUUCGAAUCCGGCAGGUCGGA
rnacentral:tRNA from 1 species